AUCAAUAUUAUAUACUUUUGAGCUAUUUUCUCUCUUCUCCCAUGGAUGCCAUGUUUCUUAACAUGGUAUCAGAGCAAAAAUGGUAUCCACCUUAGAGAAAUAUUCCGCUGCAAUUUUCUCGAGAAAAUUUAAUUUUUUCUCAAUCUUCAUUUUCCAUUGCCCUUUCUGUUCUAUUUUUCCUGAGAAAUUCAUUUUCUAGCACUGUUCAUUUUCCAUCUUAGAAAAUCACUUUUCUCCUCUUUCAAUUUCGAUUUUGUUUACUGAUUUUCUUAUUCUGGUCCAUUUUUUUCUUGUUCGAAUUCUUGAUCGAUCAAAUUUUCAGCCUAUGAAUCUUUCAAUUUCUUGUUGAGAUUGUUUCUUUUCCGAUCAAUUUCCGUUCCUUCUUCAUUUUGCGAUUUCUCCUCAAUCGCAAUUUUUCAUCCUUUUCCCAAAUUCUAGGGUUCGCGAUUUCAAUUUUAAUCGCAUUUCAGUUCACUGAAUCAUUCAUUUCCGCUUCCGAUCUCAUCACGACUAUGUCUGGUACUGUGAUAUUUGAUAAUUGCUUGGUAUGACGCAUCAUANNNNNNNNNNNNNNNNNNNNNNNNNNNNNNNNNNNNNNNNNNNNNNNNNNNNNNNNNGUUGAUUGUUAUUCUCUUGGAGUGUUAUUUUCUGCGUUAACAUGCAAAGGUUCGGAGUUUAGAUUGCUCUUGGUGGUGAUCUUUGCCUCUGUUUUCUCCAUCAUCUUCAUUGCUUUGAGGUUUGAGAUAUAUUUCUUUUGACAAUUCUGUUGUGUAUUAGUUGCUUCUGGUUCUUGCCUUUCUUUGAAUUUGAAGCCUAAUUGCAACAAAUUUGAGUUGAUAUCUGCAAUUGAUACAUUACAUAUGAGUUGUGUUAUUGCAAGUUUAUGUUGCAACUUGCAAGUGAUGAUUUCAGAGGUGAUUUACUGCAAGUUUCUUGUGCAAUGGAUAUGAUAUGCCACACGAUUCUGGAUAUAUCUUGUGCUGGAUAUUUCAGUUAUCCUUUGGUGUUUUCUUACUUCAGUUUAUAAAGCAUUUACAUGCUUUCACAGUUCUUGUUGUUAUGGAUGUUUGUUGCUCCAUAUGAGGACGCUGCUAUUGAUGCAAGUGUGGUAGAUGGUGUUGUUGUGAUUACACCUACUUGUCUUUGUGUUGCAUUCGUUUCUGCAAUGGUCUUGUUUUGAAGGUUUUACUAUGAGACGAAUAUGAAUUGGAAGCAUAUAUUAGUGAUGGUUCUUUGAAUUUCUAGUUUUUCUUUGUUUGGUGUUUAUGGGCUGAAGACAUAGUUAAUCUCAUGCUCAUGGAUUUAGCUUACGUGGCUUACCCAAUAAUUUGGAACUUGUUGUCUAUUUGGUGAAGCCCUACAACAAGUUACUGCUA
rnacentral:lncRNA from 1 species